rnacentral:rRNA from 1 species
CCCUUAAAUGUCCUGGGCCGCACGCGCGUUACACUGAUGCACUCAACGAGCAUAUAACCUUGGCCGAGAGGCCUGGGUAAUCUUGUUAACAUGCAUCGUGAUAGGGAUAGAUUAUUGCAAUUAUUAAUCUUGAACGAGGAAUUCCUAGUAAUCGCAGAUCAUCAAUCUGCAAUGAUUACGUCCCUGCCCUUUGUACACACCGCCCGUCGCACCUACCGAUUGAAUGGUCCGGUGAGGACUCGGGAUUGUGGUUUGGCUCCUUCAUUGGGGCCUGACUGCGAGAACUUGUCCAAACCUUAUCAUUUAGAGGAAGGUGAAGUCGUAACA